AGUGAACGCUGGCGGUAGGCCUAACACAUGCAAGUCGAACGGCAGCACAGUAAGAGCUUGCUCUUACGGGUGGCGAGUGGCGGACGGGUGAGGAAUACAUCGGAAUCUACUUUUUCGUGGGGGAUCACGUAGGGAAACUUACGCUAAUACCGCAUACGACCUACGGGUGAAAGCAGGGGAUCUUCGGACCUUGCGCGAUUGAAUGAGCCGAUGUCGGAUUAGCUAGUUGGCGGGGUAAAGGCCCACCAAGGCGACGAUCCGUAGCUGGUCUGAGAGGAUGAUCAGCCACACUGGAACUGAGACACGGUCCAGACUCCUACGGGAGGCAGCAGUGGGGAAUAUUGGACAAUGGGCGCAAGCCUGAUCCAGCCAUACCGCGUGGGUGAAGAAGGCCUUCGGGUUGUAAAGCCCUUUUGUUGGGAAAGAAAAGCAGCAGGUUAAUACCCCGCGGUUCUGACGGUACCCAAAGAAUAAGCACCGGCUAACUUCGUG
rnacentral:rRNA from 1 species